UACGUAGGAUCCGAGCGUUAUCCGGAUUUAUUGGGUUUAAAGGGUGCGCAGGCGGAAGAUUAAGUCGGUGGUGAAAUUUUGCAGCUCAACUGUAAAAGUGCCAUUGAUACUGGUUUUCUUGAGUGUGGAUGAAGUAGGCGGAAUUUGUGGUGUAGCGGUGAAAUGCAUAGAGAUUGCACAGAAGGCCGAUUGCGGAGGCAGCUUACUGAGCCAUAACUGACGCUGAGGCACGAAAGCGUGGGGAUCGAACAGGAUUA
rnacentral:rRNA from 1 species